AUUGAACGCUGGCGGCAGGCCUAACACAUGCAAGUCGAGCGGAUGAAGGGAGCUUGCUCCUGGAUUCAGCGGCGGACGGGUGAGUAAUGCCUAGGAAUCUGCCUGGUAGUGGGGGAUAACGUCCGGAAACGGGCGCUAAUACCACAUACGUCCUGAGGGAGAAAGUGGGGGAUCUUCGGACCUCACGCUAUCAGAUGAGCCUAGGUCGGAUUAGCUAGUUGGUGGGGUAAAGGCCUACCAAGGCGACGAUCCGUAACUGGUCUGAGAGGAUGAUCAGUCGCACUGGAACUGAGACACGGUCCAGACUCCUACGGGAGGCAGCAGUGGGGAAUAUUGGACAAUGGGCGAAAGCCUGAUCCAGCCAUGCCGCGUGUGUGAAGAAGGUCUUCGGAUUGUAAAGCACUUUAAGUUGGGAGGAAGGGCAGUAAGUUAAUACCUUGCUGUUUUGACGUUACCAACAGAAUAAGCACCGGCUAACUUCGUG
rnacentral:rRNA from 1 species